rnacentral:pre_miRNA from 22 species
AAAUAAAUACCCUGUUGGUUCUAAUUUGUAUGUUUCUGAGCGAACAUACAAAUUAGACUCAACAGGGUAUUCUUGU